UAAGCAUAUCAAUAAGCGGAGGAAAAGAAACCAACAGGGAUUGCCUCAGUAACGGCGAGUGAAGCGGCAACAGCUCAAAUUUGAAAUCUGGCCCCUUCGGGGUCCGAGUUGUAAUUUGCAGAGGGUGCUUUUGGUGUUGGCCGUGGUCUAAGUUCCUUGGAACAGGACGUCACAGAGGGUGAGAAUCCCGUACGUGGCCGCCGGCCCUCGCCUUGUAAAGCCCCUUCGACGAGUCGAGUUGUUUGGGAAUGCAGCUCUAAAUGGGAGGUAAAUUUCUUCUAAAGCUAAAUACCCGCCAGAGACCGAUAGCGCACAAGUAGAGUGAUCGAAAGAUGAAAAGCACUUUGGAAAGAGAGUGAAAAAGCACGUGAAAUUGUUGAAAGGGAAGCGCUUGCGGCCAGACGUGCCCGCGGUUGUUCAUCUGGGCUCUCGCCCGGUGCACUCCUCCGCGGGCAGGCCAGCAUCAGUUUGGGCGGUCGGACAAAGGUCUCUGUCACGUACCACCCCUCGGGGUGGCCUUAUAGGGGAGACGCAACACGGCCAGCCUGGACUGAGGUUCCGCGCAUCUGCUAGGAUGCUGGCGUAAUGGCAGCAAGCGGCCCGUCUUGAAACACGGACCAAGGAGUCUAACAUCUAUGCGAGUGUUUGGGUGUCAAGCCCGAGCGCGUAAUGAAAGUGAACGGAGGUGGGAACCCCUCGGGGCGCACCAUCGACCGAUCCUGAUGUCUUCGGAUGGAUUUGAGUAAGAGCAUAGCUGUUGGGACCCGAAAGAUGGUGAACUAUGCCUGAAUAGGGUGAAGCCAGAGGAAACUCUGGUGGAGGCUCGCAGCGGUUCUGACGUGCAAAUCGAUCGUCAAA
rnacentral:rRNA from 1 species